GGACCAAGGAGUCUAGCAUGUGCGCGAGUCAUUGGGAUAGACUCUAAACCUAAAGGCGCAAUGAAAGUGAAGGUCUCGCCUCGCGCGGACCUAGGGAGGAUGGGCCGCGCCACGACGCGGCCCCGCACUCCCGGGGCGUCUCGUUCUCUUCUGAGAAGAGGCGCACCCAGAGCGUACACGCUGGGACCCGAAAGAUGGUGAACUAUGCCUGGUCAGGACGAAGUCAGGGGAAACCCUGAUGGAGGUCCGUAGCGAUUCUGACGUGCAAAUCGAUCGUCGGAACUGGGUAUAGGGGCGAAAGACUAAUCGAACCAUCUAGUAGCUGGUUCCCUCCGAAGUUUCCCUCAGGAUAGCUGGCGCUCGCAUUGCGAGUCUCAUCCGGUAAAGCGAAUGAUUAGAGGCAUUGGGGUCGAAACGGCCUCAACCUAUUCUCAAACUUUAAAUGGGUGAGAUCUCCGGCUUGCUCGAACGUGAAGCCGCGAGAUUCAUUCAAAAAGGAUCAGAGUGCCAAGUGGGCCACUUUUGGUAAGCAGAACUGGCGCUGUGGGAUGAACCAAACGCAGAGUUAAAGCGCCUAAAUCGACGCUUAUGGGAUACCAUGAAAGGCGUU
rnacentral:rRNA from 1 species